CACCGCGGUUAUACGAGAGGCCCAAAUUGACAAAAACCGGCGUAAAAUGUGGUUAACAUAAUAGUGCACUAAAGCUAAACAUCUUCAAAGCUGUUAUACGCACACGAAGACAGGAAAUACUUCUACGAAAGUGGCUUUAAAUAAUGCUACCCACGAAAGCUAGGGAA
rnacentral:rRNA from 1 species